rnacentral:lncRNA from 1 species
AAACCCUCUAGAGGAAAUAGGACAGAAAGGUCACACAGAAGCAGUAAAGCCAAUGAUCUCUUAUAAAACAGUUAUUUAGGUUCUCAGUGGCACUGUUCAUCUUCUGGAAGGGAGAUCACUCCAGUCUCUGCCCAUCCCUGUGUCAUCAGCGUAGCUCUGGACUCUUGGAGUAGAAGAAGAAAGCCUAUUCUACCUUGUUGCUGCUGUACACUCAGCUUUCCUCUUGCUGAUGACAUGAUUCCUGUUUGAAUCUGUUGACAAGAUUCUGAAAGCUGAACAGAGAAUUCUGGCACUGCACUGGGUAGGAAAAAGGUCAGGACAUUUACAUUACCAUUUGCUGGUCAUUCUUUUGCCAUCAGUUUUACAAUUCUCAAAUCUCUUGCCACUUGCUUAUUUCUUCCAUGUGCUUGAGUUGUUCUUGGUUUGCAAAUUAUGAAUAAUACUCUAAUAAUGUAAGAAGUUGAGCAUUUGGGCAUCUUCCUUUUAUAGUUUGAAGAUGAAAAUAAUUUAAAAACUAUCAAGAAUAGAAACAAAAUCU